CUGAUGCAGUAAGAUGUACAAGUGCAUCAUCUCCAGAAUCAAUAGCCUGAUGGACGAGGAGAGGAAGAAAAGCAAAGCCACCACCCAGCUCUUCAACCUCCUGCCUUGCGCUGUCAAUCCGACCUACGCCUAUUCAAUGAGCCUGUUCUCCUCCUGGAACUUCUCCACACUUCGAGUGUCUGAACUUUGCUGCCAACUGAUUUCCUUAAGAAAGCUCAUGCCUGCCUCCUGUCUUUCCUCAAAGGAGAAUUUACUAUCAAGUCAUUGAGAACACAGAUAAUGUUGCAGAAAAUCAGUUCCUCCAGCAUAUGGGAAUGUGAAAAAGACCAUAAUGAUUGGAUACAAGAGUGGGAUAUCUUCAGUACAAAUACAGAUGGCUAAGAUGUAGGUAACUACAAAUGCGCUAGACACCUUAGAUGUGCUUUGUAGUCCACAGAGAUAAAUAAGAUACAUCAGAUUUAUUUUACUAGGACAAAAUAAAUUGAUCCUC
ensembl:lncRNA